rnacentral:rRNA from 1 species
UACGUAGGGUGCAAGCGUUAUCCGGAUUUAUUGGGCGUAAAGGGCUCGUAGGCGGUUCGUCGCGUCCGGUGUGAAAGUCCAUCGCUUAACGGUGGAUCCGCGCCGGGUACGGGCGGGCUUGAGUGCGGUAGGGGAGACUGGAAUUCCCGGUGUAACGGUGGAAUGUGUAGAUAUCGGGAAGAACACCAAUGGCGAAGGCAGGUCUCUGGGCCGUUACUGACGCUGAGGAGCGAAAGCAUGGGGAGCGAACAGG